CCGGCAAAGAGAGAAAGGGAAAAUGCUGCAACAGGAACAACAUCAACAAUGACAUGAAAAGCUGCAUAUUUCUGUAAAAGCUUAAUUGCCAAGGGCUUAACUGUGCCCUGGGCCCUGUUAAUCAAAGCUUUAUGGACAUUAUAUCAUUGACACCUUAUCUCUAAUGUGAGUCAUUUUUCCCCAAGUUGCACCUUCCCUACAGCACGGGGAAAGAUAAGGAGAUAGUGCAAGGCACACACAUCUGCUCUAAUGAGAGAAGCUCUAGCCAGGGAAUCCCAAGUCUUCCUGUCAUGGGUCACUUAUGGGACCCUGAAACCAAAUGUUUGGGUUAACAAUAAAGGUCCAUUUGCCUUCCUUAACUCUCCUCCAGCAAGAGGUAAUUAUGAGUUACAGCAGUUUUGAAGAUAUUCAAAGCUCAUCCUAUCUCUCCUAGCUCAGCAAUUAGGUACUCUACAUUUCAAUGAAUAUCUAAAUUCCUUUUACUAGGCAUGGUAUCUGAAGACUAAAGUAGGCUGACUACAACCAU
rnacentral:lncRNA from 1 species